GCUUUUUCUUUCACCGGAGCUUGCUCCACCGAAAGAAAAAGAGUGGCGAACGGGUGAGUAACACGUGGGUAACCUGCCCAUCAGAAGGGGAUAACACUUGGAAACAGGUGCUAAUACCGUAUAACACUAUUUUCCGCAUGGAAGAAAGUUGAAAGGCGCUUUUGCGUCACUGAUGGAUGGACCCGCGGUGCAUUAGCUAGUUGGUGAGGUAACGGCUCACCAAGGCAACGAUGCAUAGCCGACCUGAGAGGGUGAUCGGCCACACUGGGACUGAGACACGGCCCAGACUCCUACGGGAGGCAGCAGUAGGGAAUCUUCGGCAAUGGACGAAAGUCUGACCGAGCAACGCCGCGUGAGUGAAGAAGGUUUUCGGAUCGUAAAACUCUGUUGUUAGAGAAGAACAAGGAUGAGAGUAAAAUGUUCAUCCCUUGACGGUAUCUAACCAGAAAGCCACGGCUAACUACGUGCCAGCAGCCGCGA
rnacentral:rRNA from 1 species